rnacentral:rRNA from 1 species
AGAGGUUUGAUCAUGGCUCAGAUUGAACGCUGGCGGCAGGCCUAACACAUGCAAGUCGAGCGGAUGAGGGGAGCUUGCUCCCUGAUUCAGCGGCGGACGGGUGAGUAAUGCCUAGGAAUCUGCCUGGUAGUGGGGGACAACGUUUCGAAAGGAACGCUAAUACCGCAUACGUCCUACGGGAGAAAGCAGGGGAUCUUCGGGCCUUGCGCUAUCAGAUGAGCCUAGGUCGGAUUAGCUAGUUGGUGGGGUAAAGGCCUACCAAGGCGACGAUCCGUAACUGGUCUGAGAGGAUGAUCAGUCACACUGGAACUGAGACACGGUCCAGACUCCUACGGGAGGCAGCAGUGGGGAAUAUUGGACAAUGGGCGAAAGCCUGAUCCAGCCAUGCCGCGUGUGUGAAGAAGGUCUUCGGAUUGUAAAGCACUUUAAGUUGGGAGGAAGGGCAGUAAGUUAAUACCUGCUGUUUUGACGUCCACAGAAUAACUCGGCGUG